rnacentral:rRNA from 1 species
AGAGUUUGAUCAUGGCUCAGAGUGAACGCUGGCGGCGUGCCUAACACAUGCAAGUCGUGCGCGAAAGGGAGCAAUCCCAAGUAAAGCGGCGAACGGGUGAGUAACACGUGGUUAACCNNNNCAGUCGUGGGGGAUACCCCGGGGAAACUCGGGAUAAUACCGCAUGAUGUCCUCGAGACGUCGGUCAUGAGGAGCAAAGCCGGGGACCGUAAGGCCUGGCGCGACUGGAGGGGACCGCGGCCGAUUAGCUAGUUGGCGGGGUAACGGCCCACCAAGGCGUCGAUCGGUAGCCGGCCUGAGAGGGUGAUCGGCCACACCGGAACUGAGACACGGUCCGGACUCCUACGGGAGGCAGCAGUGGGGAAUUUUGCGCAAUGGGCGAAAGCCUGACGCAGCAACGCCGCGUGGAGGAUGAAGGAUCUCUGAUUUGUAAACUCCUGUCGGCCGGGAAGAAACGGCGGGGCGCUAAUCAGCUCCGCCUUGACUGUACCGGCAAAGGAAGCCCCGGCUAACUCCGUGCCAGCAGCCGCGGUAAUACGGAGGGGGCAAGCGUUACUCGGAAUUAUUGGGCGUAAAGGGCGCGUAGGCGGUCGUGCGCGUCGGAGGUGAAAUCCCCGGGGCUUAACCCGGGACCUGCCUCCGAUACGGCACGACUUGAGUCCGGGAGAGGGGAGCAGAAUUCCCAGUGUAGCGGUGAAAUGCGUAGAUAUUGGGAGGAAUACCAGUGGCGAAGGCGGCUCCCUGGACCGGUACUGACGCUGAUGCGCGAAAGCGUGGGUAGCAAACAGGAUUAGAUACCCUAGUAGUCC